rnacentral:ncRNA from 1 species
UCUUAAAGUUUUAUUCUUGCUUAAAUAUUCGUUUAUUUCUUUGUAUUAUAUGUAAGUUUUGUUAUACUAAAUGUUCCUUUUGCAGUAAUUUUAUUUGAUUAUCAAGUGAUCUUGGAAUCAGCAAUUGAUUAAGUAUUGGCAUGAUUCGUGCCAGCAGCCGCGGUUAUACGAUUGAUACAAUUGAAUAUUAUUGGUUAAAGCAGUUAUUUAUAUUGUUUGAGUUUAAUUGAAAAUUAAUAAGGUGAAAUUUGAAGUUUUUUAAUAGCUCUAUUUAUGAAUCUGUGAAAUUUAAAUUAUAAACUAGGAUUAGAUACCCUAUUAUUUUAAUUGUUAAUUUUAUUUACCAGGGUACUAUUAGUUAAAGUCUUUAAACCCAAAGAAUUUGGCGGUAUCUCAUUCCAUUCAGAGGAACCUGUCCCUUAAUUGAUAAUACACGAUUAACUUUAUUUAAUUUAUUUGUUUGUAUAUCUCCGUUAUCAGAAAAUCUUUUUAGAGUUAUAAUUUUCUUGAUUUAUAAUUAUAAAAAAUUUCAGGUCAAGGUGCAGCUUAUAAUUGAAUGAGGAUGGGUUACAAUAUAUUUAUAUAUAUAAUGGAUUUGAUAAUGAAAUAUUAUUAAUGAAGGUGGAUUUGAUAGUAAUUUAAUUUAUUUAAUUUAAUUGAUAUUGGCUCUGAGGUGUGUACACAUCGCCCGUCGCUCUCAUUAUUGAUUGUUCUAUUUAAUUUUAAAGGUAGAUUUUAAAUUAAAUGAGAUAAGUCGUAACAUAGUAGAUGUACUGGAAAGUGUAUCUAGUAAGAU